rnacentral:rRNA from 1 species
GAUGAACGCUAGCGGCAGGCCUAAUACAUGCAAGUCGGACGGGAUUCAGGAGCUUGCUUCUGAUGAGAGUGGCGCACGGGUGCGUAACACGUAUGUAACCUACCUUUAUCAGGGGGAUAGCCUCUCGAAAGAGAGAUUAAGCCCGCAUAAAAUCACAGCACAGCAUUGUGUAAUGAUCAAAUAUUUAUAGGAUAAAGAUGGGCAUGCGGAACAUUAGCUAGAUGGCGGGGUAACGGCCCACCAUGGCGACGAUGUGUAGGGGAUCUGAGAGGAUGGCCCCCCACACUGGUACUGAGACACGGACCAGACUCCUACGGGAGGCAGCAGUAAGGAAUAUUGGUCAAUGGGCUGAAGCCUGAACCAGCCAUGCCGCGUGCAGGAAGACGGCCCUACGGGUUGUAAACUUCUUUUAUACGGGAAUAAACCCCGAUACGUGUAUCUGGCUGACUGUACUGUAAGAAUAAGGAUCGGCUAACUCCGUG